GGGCCGUUCAGAGCCACGUGAAGUUUGUUACGAAAAGUGGAGUGGUGUCCAUUGUCGCGACUUGCCAGAGAGUGGUGGAGCCACGUGGAAUCUGUUACAGAGAGUGGAGUAGGGUAGCAGCCAUUGUCGCGACUUGCCAGAGAGUUCGGAUCUGUCGGCUGAAGCUCGGUUGGGAUGUCUGAUGGAGCGAAUAGCUCUCUAUCUCG
rnacentral:lncRNA from 1 species